UGGGGAAUCUUGCGCAAUGGGCGAAAGCCUGACGCAGCGACGCCGCGUGAGUGAUGAAGGCCUUCGGGUUGUAAAGCUCUGUGGAGGGGGACGAAUAAGUCGGAUCGAAUAUAUCCGAUGAUGACGGUACCCUUUUAGCAAGCACCGGCUAACUCUGUGCCAGCAGCCGCGGUAAGACAGAGGGUGCAAACGUUGUUCGGAAUUACUGGGCGUAAAGCGCGUGUAGGCUGCCUCGCAAGUCGGAUGUGAA
rnacentral:rRNA from 1 species